rnacentral:rRNA from 1 species
UACGAAGGGGGCUAGCGUUGUUCGGAAUUACUGGGCGUAAAGCGCACGUAGGCGGGUCGUUAAGUCAGGGGUGAAAUCCCAGAGCUCAACUCUGGAACUGCCUUUGAUACUGGCGAUCUAGAGAUCGGAAGAGGUUAGUGGAAUUCCCAGUGUAGAGGUGAAAUUCGUAGAUAUUGGGAAGAACACCAGUGGCGAAGGCGGCUAACUGGUUCGAUACUGACGCUGAGGUGCGAAAGCGUGGGGAGCAAACAGG